UUUUGUAUUUUUUAGGGGGAAACCUCAGGAAAUCCGUGGCUGAGGGCAGCCCUUCCUCCAGGCUCUAAGCGGUUAACUCCCGUUUCGACUUCCCAGCGCUGGACUCAGCAGCCGAAACAAAAAUAAGCGACAAGAAAGAAGAACACACAGAGCUUUUACACGCUUGCUGACGACGUUUUGGUUAGGGUGGAUUCUCCAAGUUUACAAUUCUUAGCUCAGUUUUAGGCAGAAGGGUAUUCAAUAACAAAUACUUUUUUGUUAAUUCAAAAAAACGCUUUUACUUUAUUUUUUCAAAUUAGUAAGUUAUCCAUUUUAUAAGUGCAAUAAGGCACUUGAGGGUGUGUGAUAUACGCUGAUAUCACCACGCCCCGGGCAGCUGAAGAAUGGAGCUAGUGAGUAUGAAUAAAUAAGAAAAAGCAAGUCACAGGUGUGCUGUGCUCGCCCUCAGCCAGCCACAGUGUAAUAAGAGACGUCUUCCACACCCUGGAGAGGGUCACUGCGCUUAGAAAAAAUACAGAAAACAAAAAACAACAACAUGGUGAGUUUGUAAUGAAGCUUUCUGCAAUGUUUCCAUCAGCCAGUGCUGAACAGGUCACAUACUUUGUCAUUAGAAGCUACAAAUUUGCUGGAAAAACAUAAUACUGCAGAGUACAAUUCUUUUUCUUUUUUGAGUGCAGUUUGAAAAUGUAGCAGCUUAUUUACAUGUUUUAUACACUUUGGAAAGUAAAGUUCACAUUUAAAAUUACAGUUUCACCAGCACAAUAAUCACGCUCUGCACCUUUAUUUUUUCUUGUCGUUGUUAAGAUGCAACGCGCCCGAUCUGCACCCCGAUUCUAGACUGCAGUCCGGGGCUUUACAGGAACUAUCGCCGUGGCCAGAGAGACCGAGAUUGUGAGAUUUUAAACCAAAUAAACCCACUAACUUGAUUGAUCUUCAGAGGUGGUUUGACCCUAGCCUUGCAAACGACAAGUCUUACUGCACAGUCAUGUAAUCUUGUUUAGCCAAUCACAGCGUUUAAUUUAUCAAAGCCAUUUUAUAACUGUACUGAUUUGCAAAUGUACUUUAGUGCCGCUUGACGUUUUUAAUUUUUUUUGCUAUGCAUUGAAGAUUCUGCACGUUGGUGCUAAUUCCUUGUUUUCUCCCCUGAUGGUGGGAUCGUGUUUUUCUAAGUAGUGGUCUGUUGCUAGUUAGUUGCUAUGUAACAUAAAAGCUUUUGCUGCCGCGCUGCUGAUUGGCUAAGGAAUCGCUGAAAAAGCUUUGCUGUUUGAAGGGAACCUGACCAUUUAAUUCCCUCCUCAUCACAGUUCCUCCUAGAAAGGGAUAUAUUUCAAGUAGCUGGAGAAUGAUUGGCUGUUCAUUCUUACAUGGUGGUCCGUGCUUAGCUGGGUUGAGUCCUGCAAUAGUCCUUGUCUUGCUAGGAGGUGCACCAGAAACGAACAUUUGGAGAUUCAGGACUGUCCUCAUAUCGAUGUUCGGGAAACUAUCAACAUACUGGAAGCUAAAACAGAUCUAAGUGAAGAAGACAAAAGUAUAAUAUUGCAACCGGCAGGAAGCUGGGAUCUUCCAGGGGUGACAAAAGGAAAGCGGCAUUGGCUGAUGGACAAACUCCUCCUUCAUGCUGUGAUUAGUUUUUGUUUUGUUCAUAUCCAGCUUAGGUUUACAAUUUGUGGUGCUAGUUUUGUAAUAAACGUAAAACAUUAUUACCAUACCUACAGUUACCUUGCUUUUCAAUUGUUUGCUUACUGUUUUAUUUUGUCAUUUUAAACAAAUGAAAUUGAUUUUUUUUUUUUUUUAAUUGCGGAAGGUUAUUGAAAGAACAACCAGACAAGUUAAACAGCUGAGGAAAGGUCUGAAGGAAAUGUUGGUUUGGCCUCUUGUGUCAAUGUUGCCCCGCCCCUGUGUGUAUUUCUGUGUUGUAUGUUGCGUGUUGUGUGUUA